AAUGAACGCUGGCGGCGCGCCUAAUACAUGCAAGUCGAGCGAGAAGACGUAGCAAUACGUUUGUAAAGCGGCGAACGGGUGAGGAAUACAUGGGUAACCUACCCUCGAGUGGGGAAUAACUAGCCGAAAGGUUAGCUAAUACCGCGUACGCUCCUUGGACUUCGGUUCAGGGAGGAAAGCGAUACCGUGGGUAUCGCGCUCUUGGUUGGGCUCAUGUCCUAUCAGCUUGUUGGUGAGGUAACGGCUCACCAAGGCUUCGACGGGUAGCUGGUCUGAGAGGACGAUCAGCCACACUGGCACUGCGACACGGGCCAGACUCCUACGGGAGGCAGCAGUAAGGAAUAUUGCGCAAUGGGCGAAAGCCUGACGCAGCGACGCCGCGUGGGGGAGUGAAGGUCUUCGGA
rnacentral:rRNA from 1 species